rnacentral:tRNA from 1 species
CCAUCGGUGGUUCAGUGGUAGAAUGCUCGCCUGCCACGCGGGUGACCCGGAUUCGAUUCCCGGCCGAUGCA